rnacentral:lncRNA from 1 species
GAGAAAUCAAAGAUUCCUGUCACCCAAAAGAUCAGAAGACAAAGAAGAUCUCUAAAGGGUGCAUGAUACACCUGGCCAGGCUUAACAAGAGGAAGAGGGAUAUCAAUAAUCCAGGAAUACAUCAAGAUGUCCACAGAGUAAUUCCCCCUGCUUUGGUGGAUCCUGACUCCAAUUCCUUUCUUUGAGUCCCACCCACGAUGCUCUUUCCUUACUCUUCUGAAAUCACUUCUGCAGGUAACCUAGUCCAUCCAAUUCUCCAGAAUAAUCUCUAUAGUCUAAGUAUUUUGGAGGAGGAAGCUGGCAAUAUGGCUUUCUACCACACACUAGAAGCUGAGACAGUGUUACAGUUGAAGAAGAGGCAGCACCUGAACAUCUGA